CCGUAACUAUAACGGUCCUAAGGUAGCGAAAUUCCUUGUCGGGUAAGUUCCGACCUGCACGAAUGGCGUAAUGAUGGCCAGGCUGUCUCCACCCGAGACUCAGUGAAAUUGAACUCGCUGUGAAGAUGCAGUGUACCCGCGGCAAGACGGAAAGACCCCGUGAACCUUUACUAUAGCUUGACACUGAACAUUGAGCCUUGAUGUGUAGGAUAGGUGGGAGGCUUUGAAGUGUGGACGCCAGUCUGCAUGGAGCCGACCUUGAAAUACCACCCUUUAAUGUUU
rnacentral:rRNA from 3 species